AGGAAUGCUCCCCGCCCGGCACUGGAGAAAGGUAAGUGUUUAACCCCUUCCUCUCCCCAGAGCCCGGCGGGAGGGGGACCCUGAGGGUGGGGGCACCCUCAGGGCACUAUAGUGCCAGGAAAACGAGUGUUUUCCUGGCACUAUAGUGGUCCUUUAAUGAAGUGGUCUGGGUGCCAGGUCCAGCUAGGGUUCACCCUUUUUUCUAUAAACAUAGCAGUUUCAUAGAAACUGCUAUGUUUAU